AAUUUGGGUUUGUUUUGUUGAUAACUACAGGUGCAGAAACGGAAACUUUAUGUUGGAUAUUAUGUGGCUGUGAGGCCUGGAUGAUCCAAUCAAGCAUUCCAAUGUAUGUGCCUUCUAGGGUAUGUGAGUGCUAUGAUAUUAAAACCUCAGAAGCUUCUUCUUCUUGGCCUUCUACGGUCUGGAACAAGCACUAUCUUCAAACAGGGGAUUGAGUAGUCAGGAGUAGUUGAAGCCCCUGGACUAUGUUACAGAAACACACCUGCUGUUGUUACAACUGUAGUUGGCCAAAUGGUAUGAAAAUG